GUGAGGAAUAUUGGACAAUGGUCGGAAGACUGAUCCAGCCAUGCCGCGUGCAGGACGACGGCCUUAUGGGUUGUAAACUGCUUUUGCAGGGGAAGAAUAAGGAGUACGUGUACUUUGAUGACGGUACUCUGCGAAUAAGCAUCGGCUAACUCCGUGCCAGCAGCCGCGGUAAUACGGAGGAUGCGAGCGUUAUCCGGAAUCAUUGGGUUUAAAGGGUCCGUAGGCGGGCUAAUAAGUCAGAGGUGAAAGCACUGAGCUCAACUGAGUAACUGCCUUUGAAACUGUUGGUCUUGAAUAGUUGUGAAGUAGCUGGAAUGUGUAGUGUAGCGGUGAAAUGCAUAGAUAUUACACAGAACACCGAUUGCGAAGGCAUGUUACUAACAACCGAUUGACGCUGAUGGACGAAAGCGUGGGGAGCGAACAGGAUUAGAAACCCUAGUAGUCC
rnacentral:rRNA from 1 species